rnacentral:tRNA from 1 species
GGGUCGGUAACAAACGUUGGCUUUGUAGCGGUUUCUUAAACCGUCAUGACGCAGGUUCGAUUCCUGCCCGACCCA